rfam:Daphnia pulex DAPPTscaffold_1161_Cont12077, whole genome shotgun sequence.
UCCCAUAUUGUCUAGUGGUUAGGAUAUCUGGCUCUCACCCAGGAGGCCCGGGUUCAAUUCCCUUUAUGGGGA